GAUGAACGCUGGCGGCGUGCCUAAUACAUGCAAGUAGAACGCUGAAGCUUGGUGCUUGCACCGAGCGGGUGAGUUGCGAACGGGUGAGUAACGCGUAGGUAACCUACCUCUUAGCGGGGGAUAACUAUUGGAAACGAUAGCUAAUACCGCAUAAAAGUCGACAUUGCAUGAUGUUGACUUGAAAGGUGCAACUGCAUCACUAAGAGAUGGACCUGCGUUGUAUUAGCUAGUUGGUGAGGUAACGGCUCACCAAGGCGACGAUACAUAGCCGACCUGAGAGGGUGAUCGGCCACACUGGGACUGAGACACGGCCCAGACUCCUACGGGAGGCAGCAGUAGGGAAUCUUCGGCAAUGGACGGAAGUCUGACCGAGCAACGCCGCGUGAGUGAAGAAGGUUUUCGGAUCGUAAAGCUCUGUUGUAAGAGAAGAACGAGUGUGAGAGUGGAAAGUUCACACUGUGACGGUAACUUACCAGAAAGGGACGGCUAACUACGUGCCAGCAGCCGCGGUAAUACGUAGGUCCCGAGCGUUAUCCGGAUUUAUUGGGCGUAAAGCGAGCGCAGGCGGUUAGAUAAGUCUGAAGUUAAAGGCUGUGGCUUAACCAUAGUACGCUUUGGAAACUGUUUAACUUGAGUGCAGAAGGGGAGAGUGGAAUUCCAUGUGUAGCGGUGAAAUGCGUAGAUAUAUGGAGGAACACCGGUGGCGAAAGCGGCUCUCUGGUCUGUAACUGACGCUGAGGCUCGAAAGCGUGGGGAGCAAACAGG
rnacentral:rRNA from 1 species